GUGAUGAUUUGAUGCUAAUGUGA
rnacentral:siRNA from 1 species